CUACGGGAGGCAGCAGUCGGGAAUUUUGGGCAAUGGGCGAAAGCCUGACCCAGCAACGCCGCGUGAAGGAUGAAGUCUUUCGGGAUGUAAACUUCGUAAGAAUAGGAAGAAUAAAUGACGGUACUAUUUGUAAGGUCCGGCUAACUACGUGCCAGCAGCCGCGGUAAUACGUAGGGACCAAGCGUUGUUCGGAUUUACUGGGCGUAAAGGGCGCGUAGGCGGCAAUUCAAGUCAGUUGUGAAAUCUCCGAGCUUAACUCGGAACGGUCAACUGAUACUGCUUUGCUAGAGUACAGAAGGGGCAAUCGGAAUUCUUGGUGUAGCGGUGAAAUGCGUAGAUAUCAAGAGGAACACCUGAGGUGAAGACGGGUUGCUGGGCUGAUACUGACGCUGAGGCGCGAAAGCUAGGGUAGCAAACGGGAUUAGAUACCCCGGUAGUCCUAGCCCUAAACGAUGAAUACUUGGUGUCUGGAGUUUUAUUCUCCGGGUGCCGUCGCUAACGUUUUUAGUAUUCCGCCUGGGGAGUACGCACGCAAGUGUGAAACUCAAAGGAAUUGACG
rnacentral:rRNA from 1 species